CGAACGCUGGCGGCGUGCCUAACACAUGCAAGUCGAACGGUAACAGUGACUUCGGUCAGCUGACGAGUGGCGCACGGGUGAGUAACGCGUGGAUAUCUGCCCAUCGGCGGGGGACAACUACGGGAAACCGUAGCUAAUACCGCAUACGACCUACGGGUGAAAGCGGGGGACCUUCGGGCCUCGCACCGAUGGAUGAGUCCGCGUCUGAUUAGCUAGUUGGUAAGGUAAAAGCUUACCAAGGCGAUGAUCAGUAGCUGGUUUGAGAGGAUGAUCAGCCACACUGGAACUGAGACACGGUCCAGACUCCUACGGGAGGCAGCAGUGGGGAAUUUUGCACAAUGGGGGAAACCCUGAUGCAGCGACGCCGCGUGCGGGAAGAAGGCCUUAGGGUUGUAAACCGCUUUCAAUUGGGAAGAAGAGAGGAGUGUUAAUAGCAUUCUGAUUUGACGGUACCUUUAGAAGAAGCACCGGCUAAUUUC
rnacentral:rRNA from 1 species